AGGACGAACGCUGGCGGCGUGCUAAACACAUGCAAGUCGAACGAGGUCCAUCCAGUCGCAAGACUGGUGAAGGCCGAGUGGCGAACGGGUGCGUAACACGUGAGAAACCUGUCCCGGUCUCUGGAAUAACAGUCGGAAACGACUGCUAAUACCGGAUGCCGUCGGAGCGUCGCAUGGCGCGCUGACGAAAGGGCUACCGGAUCGGGAGGGUCUCGCGGCCUAUCAGCUUGUUGGUGAGGUAACGGCUCACCAAGGCAUCGACGGGUAGCUGGUCUGAGAGGACGAUCAGCCACACUGGGACUGAGACACGGCCCAGACUCCUACGGGAGGCAGCAGUGGGGAAUCUUGCGCAAUGCGCGAAAGCGUGACGCAGCAACGCCGCGUGGGGAAGAAUGCCUUCGGGUUGUAAACCCCUUUUAGGAGGGACGAAAUGACGGUACCUCCAGAAAACGCCCGGCCAACUACGUGCCAGCAGCCGC
rnacentral:rRNA from 1 species